UGAAUCGAGGCAUCCGUACGAUGAAAUCCGUAACCGAUCCAUAGCCGAUUUCGCGGACGAUAAACGAAUCGAUGUCUCGUUUUCUUCAUCGAGUCGUGGCAAAAUAAAAAAAAAAAAAAAAAAAAAAAAAAAAGAGAAGAAAACGUUCGCGGGAACGAGUGGAUCGACGACGACGAGCGGAUCGGCUCCUGGGUCUAGAGAACGCGUUCGCAAAAUCGUCGCGACGUAUACAACUUUUUUCUUUUUUUUUUUUUCUUUUUUUAAUAACCGUAAAUUUUAAUUUUAACGACAAUCAUAAUUUUUACGCACGUUUUACAAUCAUCCGUACGAUAAAUAUUCAUUUUUCACAUCUAACGAUAAAUCUUUCGAUAAAGGGGAUAUAUCGGGAGAUAGUACUCUUUUGUUACCCAGAGUGAACUGGAUUUUGCAGGGGGUUGGAAACGGUGAAGAGGAUUCGAUUAAAGUAUGGGUAAGGGUUAGGAGGGAGCAGGUGGGACAGAAGUAAAGUUGGGGGCAAGG